UACGUAGGGGGCAAGCGUUGUCCGGAAUCAUUGGGCGUAAAGAGCGUGUAGGCGGCCUGGUAAGUCCGCUGUGAAAGUCCAGGGCUCAACCCUGGAAUGCCGGUGGAAACUGUCAGGCUCGAGUCCGGAAGAGGCGAGUGGAAUUCCUGGUGUAGCGGUGAAAUGCGCAGAUAUCAGGAGGAACACCAAUGGCGAAGGCAGCUCGCUGGGACGUGACUGACGCUGAGACGCGAAAGCCAGGGGAGCAAACGGG
rnacentral:rRNA from 1 species